CCCCUAGAUGUUCUGGGCCGCACGCGCGCUACACUGAACAGUUCAACAAGUCUUAACCUUGGCCGAUAGGUCUGGGUAAUCUUUGAACGCUGUUCGUGAUUGGGAUAGACCUUUGCAAUUAUGGGUCUUCAACGAGGAAUUCCUAGUAAACGCAAGUCAUCAGCUUGCAUUGAUUACGUCCCUGCCCUUUGUACACACCGCCCGUCGCACCUACCGAUUGAAUGGUCCGGUGAAGCCUCGGGAUUGUGGCUGGUCUCCUUUAUUGGGGGUCGGUCGCGAGAACUUGUCUAAACCUUAUCAUUUAGAGGAAGGUGAAGUCGUAACA
rnacentral:rRNA from 1 species